UGAGUUGAAGACGGAUGGGAGCAU
rnacentral:sRNA from 1 species